AGAGGACUUCGAGACAAGAUAUUUCAGCUAAGUUUGAGUUGGAAAUGCCCCAUACUAAGGCACUCGGGUGACAUCACCAUUAACCACUCAAGUGAAACCCAAGACACUUGCUGGCCAGGAAAUUACAGCCUUGGAGACCAUCUUCCUAUUUGUGUAUGUGGAACUGCGUCUGCCUCUUCAACCCCUCUACACCUCCCU